ACCUAAUGGUGUGGGCAUUUACAUAAGAGGUCCCUAAAGCGCUCCCAGGUUGCGAAAAAUAGUUCCCUAUACAAUUGUGAGAAACUGGUGAUGACUCUCCUAAGCU